UUUCCGUAGGUACGUUGACACCCCAAGAUUCUCAUUCUGAUGGAACCGUCGCUAACAUCGCUUCCAGGUGAACCUGCGGAAGGAUCAUUACAGUGGUAGGCUUCGGCCUCAUUCACACCCCCUGCGUUCCCUCUGGUUUCUUUGGCGAGGUCUCUCGUCAAACUUUUAACGCUGAGAAUGUGGUACUGUCCGAGUGCGAUUGAAUUAUCAAA
rnacentral:misc_RNA from 1 species